GAGUUUGAUCGUGGCUCAGAUUGAACGCUGGCGGUAUGCUUAACGCAUGCAAGUCGAACGGUAACAGGAGAGAGCUUGCUCUUUUGCUGACGAGUGGCGGACGGGUGAGUAAUGCGUAGGAAUCUGCCUAGUAGUGGGGGACAACGUGUGGAAACGCACGCUAAUACCGCAUUACGCCCUACGGGGGAAAGCGGGGGAUCUUCGGACCUCGCGCUAUUAGAUGAGCCUACGUUAGAUUAGCUAGUUGGUGGGGUAAAGGCCUACCAAGGCGACGAUCUAUAGCUGGUCUGAGAGGAUGAUCAGCCACACUGGGACUGAGACACGGCCCAGACUCCUACGGGAGGCAGCAGUGGGGAAUAUUGGACAAUGGGCGAAAGCCUGAUCCAGCAAUACCGCGUGUGUGAAGAAGGCCUGAGGGUUGUAAAGCACUUUCAAUUGUGAAGAAUAUUAA
rnacentral:rRNA from 1 species